AUAGCGAACUAGUACUGUGAAGGAAAGAGCCCCCUAAAAAACGGGCCUGGAAAUACUCAACUAAUUACUUAUACCUUUUGCAUAAUGUUCCAGCGAGUUUACUUCUCUAGCGGUUGUUAAGCUAGCGGCGUAAGCCUCGAAACUAAGUGAUCUAGUUUAGCGCUGGGUUUAGCCCUAAGCCGUAGCUGUUGCAAUAGCUAGGUAAGCACGCUAAACUAGGGGUGAAAUGCUAAUCAAACUUAGAGAUAGCUAGUUCUCUACGAAAUAUAUUUAAGUAUAGCUUGCGUAAAAGCUGCGGUCGAGUAAAUAGCUCCUUUCUAGGAGUACAACAAAAGGUCGUAGCUGGCGCAAAGUCGGAGGUACCGCAAAAAAGUGGAGCCUCGAGAGGGAAACAACCCCUAGUAACGCUUAAUCGACUAAGAGCAGACACCUUGCAGAAUGGUAGGAAUGGAAGCCGUCACCCAAUUAAAUGCGUAAUAGCUUUUUCUGUUUGGUUAUGCUCAAAAAUUUUUUUUUUUGAGAAAGCUUACUUUAGGUAGUAGAGUUUUGGGUAUUUGGUUGAAAAAAGCCAACCGGUUUUUGGACAAACCCCAAUUAAAAAUGCUGGAUUUAGUAGUAACAACCGCGGAAAUGCGGUGCUUUACCUAAGAGUUUCCUAGCAAGGAGCACCUCUAGGAUUAAGCCGGAGCUAAGGGUCUACCCGAGGCGU
rnacentral:rRNA from 1 species